GGGGGCGAGUAAGGAUCGACAUGCAUAGUAAAGAUGGUAGCUUUGCUCGGUUAGAUACCACCGCUAAGAGUUCACAAUUUAGAUGCAAACGAUAACUUUGCUGCUGAAGACAAUGUUGCAUUAGCUGCUUAAUUUAGGCACUAUAACUUCAUCGCUAUAAGCACGGUUUAGGGAACGCCGGGUAACAGAAGUUCCCCCA
rnacentral:tmRNA from 3 species